rnacentral:misc_RNA from 1 species
GGAUAAUCUAAAUUUAUUUCUUUGUCAACUAUUGACGGAGACCUAUACAUUAAUUGGUGCCACUUGCCACCUUUUAAAGGACUAGAAAAACUUGACCAAAUUACACUGCCACUUCCUUUCUUUUUCCUUCACAGGUUAAGUUCUCAACCUUAUAUAGUGCGGAAGGGUUGGUAAGGCAUCCUGUGUUGCAAGAUUUGUUUUAAGUAUAAUUAUUUGAGGAUUUGAGAAGUGGAGAGGUGAACCCUUCUAGUUUGUCUAAACUACCAUCCCCUCUUUUCUUUUCCUUUCUUUUCACAUCUCUUAUCUUUAGUUUAACUGUACACUUCUUCUAUGGCA